AUGUAUAUGGCACCCUUUCACCCCUAUAGUGGGCCAUGUAGUACACUAGAUGUAUAUGGCACCCUUUCACCCCUAUAGUGGGCCAUGUAGUACACUAGAUGUAUAUGGCACCCUUUCACCUCUAUAGUGGGCCAUGUAGUACACUAGAUGUAUAUGGCACCCUUUCACCUCUAUAGUGGGCCAUGUAGUACACUAGAUGUAUAUAGGGACGCAGCCUAUGACUAAGACCCAAACAUCUCUCUCUGCUAACCAGUGGUCAAACGCUUGAUGUCCGUCAGAAGAGGCAGAAGAUGAGAAGUCAGAGGCAGCAGAGCGCUACAACAUAACUAUGAGACAGGAACAGCGUGGUUAUUCCACAUGAACGAGGCGUGUUAUUCCACAUGAACGAGGAGUGUUGUUCCACAUGAAAGAGGCGUGUUGUUCCAUGAACGAGGCGUGUUGUUCCACAUGAACGAGGCGUGUUGUUCCAUGAACGAGGCGUGUUGUUCCACAUGAACGAGGCGUGUUGUUCCACAUGAACGAGGCGUGUUGUUCCACAUGAAUGAGGCGUGUUGUUCCACAUGAACGAGGCGUGUUGUUCCAUGAAUGAGGCGUGUUGUUCCAUGAAUGAGG
ensembl:lncRNA